ensembl:lncRNA
GUAAGUCGAAACCUUAAAUGUCCGAUUCGUGCAAGAGUUCUGCCUGUCUUACACUACACGGGGAUUGAAGAUGCACUUAACAGUUUUAUUGCAUUGUCUUUUAUGUAUAUGUGCUGCGUCUAUUGGUUACAAAUCAUCUUUUAGUGUGAUUCUAAUACACCGAUGAUGGAUUUAAACCCAAGUGAUACAUCAUUCGAUUGUAUUUGCGGAAUUAAGGCAGGCGUUGUGUUAAUUCAGUGAAGAGUGGCUCACACUUCUGGGCAAUUACAGGUAUUCUCAGAAAGUAACUUGAUCGGCGGAGAAACGUCAGAGCUUUACGCUGUGUUUUAAUGUAUUUUUACGUUUCUUUAUUGUACCUAUGUAGAAAAAUAACACUGCGCUUGGACAUAAGGCUGAGAGGAUGGGGAGUUGUGUCCGAUGCAUGCUAAUUCUUGGUGUGCAUAAACGUGCCCCUUUUGCUGGUCUGCAAAUGUGUGUGUGUGUGUGUGUGUGUGUGUGUGAGUGAGAGAGAAAAAGAGAGAGAAAGAGAGAGAGGGGGGGGGGGGGGAUUGAGGGAAGGAAGAGAUUAGCCUACUCUUUCCAAAACGUCCCCCUGUGAUUACAGUAGGCUGAGACGUUUAUUAAACUCCCUUUAAGUUACACGGAUGGACUGGUGCUGCUGCUGCGUGUGUGUGUGUGUGUGUGUGUGUGUGUGUGUGUGUGUGUGUGUGUGUGUGUGUGUGUGAGAGAGAGAGAGAGAGAAAGAGAGACAGUGAGAGAGAGCUAGAAAGAGAGAGAGAGAAUAAAAGGUUUUAAUCGCAUGUCCGAUAUGUGCUGGUUAUCGCCAACGAAAAUAUUGGUUUGGCAGGUACGCAAAUGCGGGAGUGUGUGUGUGUGUGUGUGUGUGUGUGUGUGUGUGUGUGUGUGUGUGUGAGAGAGAGAGAGAGAAAGAGAGACAGUGAGAGAGAGCUAGAAAGAGAGAGAGAGAAUAAAAGGUUUUAAUCGCAUGUCCGAUAUGUGCUGGUUAUCGCCAACGAAAAUAUUGGUUUGGCAGUUGCGGGGACGGAGUACGAACUCCGUGUCCGGAGGUGGAACCUGUUCCGCGGCCGCUGAAGUCUUUUCAGCACCACGGACAGCGCAGUCAAACUGCGCCCAGAGGGAGCGUUUCCUUUCCACAGAGGGAUUUUUACUGAUAUUUUAUCGACAUCGAUGGCUGCGCCCCAACCCAGACUGUCCCCACCAUGGAGAAUUUCUUUCCAGCACACAGAGUGAGGAAGUUUCUGUAAAAAGAAAAUAAUAAUAAUAAAAUAAAACAAAAGGAAAUCAUCUACUGUAGAGACCCAACAGCCUUUACUCAGAAAACAACAACAAAAACAAGCAAUAUUCUGAUGCAAAAUGACUCAUUGACAGGUGCCACACCCUGUUUAUUCCCAGAGCCACGUAGGCCUAAUUUAUUACAGUCCAUCUCAUUGUCCAAAUGUGCAAUGUGUCUGAAUGCUUAUGUAGGACUAAUAUGACCAUUUUUCAGUCAUUGCACUGUCCAGGUGCUUGUGUUUAGAUAAAGAGAAUUUGGAAAAGCUAUCUAUUAUGAUUGUUUAUUUAGUAUUGGUGGUGGCAUAGAGGCGAUGUUUGGACAUCAAAUUGUUCUGAAAAUGGAUGGUUAUGAAAAUCACUAUCUCACAAUGUAAUCAUUGAAUUAUUUAAAAAAUAAAUAAAUAAAAAAUCAAGAUUGCUCUGGUGAAGAGAGAGCCUUUCUUACAAAAAAGAAAGAAAGAAAAUCAAAAGAAAUCCCUGUGCAUACUUGAAAUAAAUCCUAAAUAAUAGGCAGAAGCUAUUAUUUCAUUUGAUAUCUAAGUCAUAACUCUUUAUAAACCAAAAACCUAUGAAGGCGCAUAUUAUUCACUUGAAGUCUGAGUCUGUUUGGCUGAUAUACCCCUGGACUUGCUCACCAUCAUUCACUGGCUCUCAAGAGAAAUGUCUGUCUCAAUGCUAUGUUUGCUAUUCUCUAUUGAGGUCAUUGAACAAGUGCCCUCAUUUAUGUUGUCAUAGUGUUUUCAUUGUCAUUUGGUACUUUAUACUAAAUGACAAUGAAAAAACAAAACAACAACAAAUAAACAACCUUCUCUAUGCCUUGUCAAAGUUACUGUACAAUGACACUGAAAACAGAAAUUCACAUUCUUUAUGUGUGUGGAUUAAUAAUCAUGGUUAAAUCAGUUUGCACUGACAGUAACAAUAAACAAAGAGGAAUAGAUUCUGAUUUAAACAGUGGUAGAUUCUAAUUCAGGAAUAAAUUAUCUACUGCAAACCAAGGCCCGCCCACUUUAAGGAACAGAAAACACUCAUAUGAUGCUCUAACCCUGAAUGCAUCUGUGAGUGAAUGGCUCUACUCAGCCUCAGCAGUUACACACUUUCUCAUGUGGCUCGUGAAGAAUGACGUCAUUACAGGAAUUGUGAUGUCACUAGUUCUUUUUUUGGUUUAGACUGGGUGUGGUGAGUGUGUAGUGUUGAGCAACUGUGUUACAGAAGAGGGCCCGGCGUUUGAAACACAUGGGAAUGUUUCUGCUAAAGGUGUUAGAAUUCCUUUUUGGAAACUGUAGGAUCCAGGAUUUGUAAGGCAUUAAUCUUAAAACUUUAAUUCAAAUUAUUCCUUCAGUGUUGUUAAUGCUUGGCUAUCAGCUAACAUGCAGCACAAGGCACAUAGCUGUUUGCCUUCAAUUAUUGCUUUAAGUUUAGCAAUUUGAAGCUUUUUUACAUUCCUUUAACUGAUAUGCAUUCCUUUGUAGCCAGAAAACAACAAAAGCAUGAAUUGCUUUUGUGUCUUUAGCUGCUCAUUGCUAACAGUCCCAACAGAACUGUCAGCAGUGCUCAUCUGAUAUGUUGAUAUCACUAGCAUUUAUUGUCUGUCAAUGCUUGAUGCCAGAAUGACGCUGGAGGGCUAAUGCCUUCUGUCGAGACUGCUUGGUGAAAUUGAUAGGCCUGCUUUGACAGAUGAGAUAACCUGCAAUCGCAGGGAAACACAAUUUACGAGUAUGGCAGAUGGAUGC